rnacentral:rRNA from 1 species
UACGUAGGGUGCGAGCGUUAAUCGGAAUUACUGGGCGUAAAGCGUGCGCAGGCGGUUCGUUGUGUCGGCGGUGAAAGCCCCGGGCUCAACCUGGGAAUGGCCGUUGAAACUGGCGAACUGGAGUGUGGCAGAGGGGGUGGAAUUCCGCGUGUAGCAGUGAAAUGCGUAGAGAUGCGGAGGAACACCCGUGGCGAAGGCGGCUCUCUGGAACGCAACUGACGCUGAGGAGCGAAAGCGUGGGGAGCGAACAGG